rnacentral:rRNA from 1 species
UACAGAGGUCUCAAGCGUUGUUCGGAUUCAUUGGGCGUAAAGGGUGCGUAGGUGGCGCGGUAAGUCUGGUGUGAAAUCUCGGGGCUCAACCCCGAAACUGCACUGGAUACUGCCUUGCUCGAGUACUGGAGAGGAGAUUGGAAUUUACGGUGUAGCAGUGAAAUGCGUAGAUAUCGUAAGGAAGACCAGUGGCGAAGGCGAAUCUCUGGACAGUUACUGACACUGAGGCGCGAAAGCGUGGGGAGCAAACAGG